rnacentral:tRNA from 1 species
CUCUCUGUAGCUCAGUUGGCAGAGCAGCUGACUCUUAAUCAGCGGGUCACAGGUUCGAAUCCUGUCAGGGAGAC